rnacentral:rRNA from 1 species
CCCUUAGAUGUUCUGGGCCGCACGCGUGCUACACUGAGUGGAUCAGCGGGUCAGGUUGCGCGAAAGCGUUUCCUAAUCUUUAAAUCCGCUCGUGAUGGGGAUUGACGGUUGCAAUUUUCUGUCAUGAACGAGGAAUACCUUGUAAGCGCGGGUCAUCAUCCCGCGCUGAAUACGUCCCUGCCCUAUGUACACACCGCCCGUCGCUCCUACCGAUUGAGUGGUCCGGUGAGGCUUUGGGAUCUGAGCGGAAAGAGCGUUUCGCUGUUUCUGCUCGGAAAACUCAGUCGAACCUUAUCAUUUAGAGGAAGGAGAAGUCGUAACA